AUGACUACUGCGCUGACAGUGACCAGGAUUGAAGUAAUCGUGGAAAAGUUGGGUUGCCAGCUAAGAAGUCCCAGGAAGAUGUCAGCUAGGACAGAGGUGAGCCAAGCGAGCAGAAGGAAAAACAGCAUGUUCAACACAGAAGACAGCCACAUAAAUCUUAUCAAGCAUGGGAAAAUUAGAUUGCAGAGAAGGAACGUCAAAAAAUUUGCCUGGAUUGACAAGCAACCCAGGUUCUCUUCAGGAAAAGGACUUCAAACAAAUGAACAAAAACAAAGUGAAACAAAGAAAAAGAAAUCCUUCAAGAUGUACUGACAGAAAACGUGAAUUCAUUCUAAGCCUUAAUCACAGAAAUGUCCAUUCCUUGGGAAAAAAUAAAAUGGCCCAUCGUAAACA
rnacentral:lncRNA from 1 species